rnacentral:rRNA from 1 species
UACGUAGGGUGCGAGCGUUGUCCGGAAUUAUUGGGCGUAAAGGGCUCGUAGGCGGUCUGUCGCGUCGGGAGUGAAAACUCAGGGCUUAACCCUGAGCCUGCUUCCGAUACGGGCAGACUAGAGGUAUGCAGGGGAGAACGGAAUUCCUGGUGUAGCGGUGGAAUGCGCAGAUAUCAGGAGGAACACCGGUGGCGAAGGCGGUUCUCUGGGCCUGACCUGACGCUGAGGCGCGAAAGCCAGGGGAGCGAACGGG